AGCAGCCGCGGUAAUUCCAGCUCCAAUAGCGUAUAUUAAAGUUGUUGCAGUUAAAAAGCUCGUAGUUGAACUUCGGGGUUUACCCAUUGGUCAGGCUUAAUUGCCUGUACUGGUGAGAUGAAUCUCUACCUUCUGAGGAACUUUUAUGCCAUUUAGUUGGUGUGAUAGGAAAUCAGGACUGUUACUUUGAAAAAAUUAGAGUGUUUAAAGCAAGCUAACGUCUGAAUACAUUAGCAUGGAAUGAUGAAAUAGGACGGAUUGGUUCUAUUUCGUUGGUUUCUAGGAUCACCGUAAUGAUUAAUAGGGAUAGUUGGGGGCAUUAGUAUUCAAUUGUCAGAGGUGAAAUUCUUGGAUUUAUUGAAGACUAACUAUUGCGAAAGCAUUUGCCAAGGAUGUUUUCAUUAAUCAAGAACGAAAGUUAGGGGAUCGAAGACGAUCAGAUACCGUCGU
rnacentral:rRNA from 1 species